rnacentral:rRNA from 1 species
CCUACGGGGUGCACCAGUAGGGAAUAUUGCACAAUGGGCGAAAGCCUGAUGCAGCGACGCCGCGUGGGGGAUGAAUGCUUUCGGGUUGUAAACCCCUUUCAGCAGGGAAGAAGCGAAAGUGACGGUACCUGCAGAAGAAGCGCCGGCUAACUACGUGCCAGCAGCCGCGGUAAUACGUAGGGCGCAAGCGUUGUCCGGAAUUAUUGGGCGUAAAGAGCUCGUAGGCGGUUUGUCACGUCUGCUGUGAAAUCCCGAGGCUCAACCUCGGGACUGCAGUGGGUACGGGCAGACUAGAGUGUGGUAGGGGAGACUGGAAUUCCUGGUGUAGCGGUGGAAUGCGCAGAUAUCAGGAGGAACACCAAUGGCGAAGGCAGGUCUCUGGGCCACAACUGACGCUGAGGAGCGAAAGCAUGGGUAGCGAACAGGAUUAGAUACCCCUGUAGUC